UUCACAUUUAUCAAUGAUAUUUUUUGUUCUACUAGAUUUUAAGUGCCAAGAGGGCAGGGACUAUGUUAAAGAAGUUCAGCACUGUCCAGCAGGCAAAGCUAGCAGUCACUUGAUUUCUGCCAUCCUGGAGGGAACAAAAAGUGUGCUUUUGCUUCUUUUCUCAAUGGAAGAGAAUGGAAUGUGCCUGAAGUUGUAUUUCUGAUGUCUGGAAGAAGUAGAACCAGAGCCUGGGGCUCAGAGGACAUCCUAUGUACAAGACAUCCAGAUGGAAAACUCAGUGAGUUUAUAGCAAUCCUGGGGCCCUCCUGAAGGAAUGGUACUGUGGAUCUUUUCCUAUUGAAGAGGCAUCUGUGAAGCAAGUGCUGCCAGCCCAAUAUCCUUCUAAAAGACUUGCCUGUCAGUCUAGAUGCUCCAGAACCAAGACCUGCAGUGAAACUUCAAGUGCAAGUUAUUUUUAGGAGGAGGUAAAGAAAACACCAAUAGGAGAGUUGGAAGAGAACAAGAUUGUAUCAGAGAAUAUGUCAAGAUUCCAAAAAGACACCUUUGAAGAAACAUUCAUCUUAAAGAAGGAAGCAACUGUAGACAGGCUAAAUGAUGUAUACUACCUUAGAUAAUUCUGAGCCCAAAAGGAGUCCCCAUGUUUCAGGAAAUAUUAUCUUCAGAAGUGUAAAUGGUACAAACUAGAAAGAAUUAUUUAAAAGCUUAGUUAUUUACACUUCUUUAACACUCAACUUUGCAGUUUGUAUUUGUUUUUUUGAGACAAGGUCUUGCUAUGUGUUCAGGCUGGCCUCGAACUC